CAAGCGAAUUUCUUAUUCCCCAUCACGUGUGAGAGAAGAGCUGGCAACAGCGGCCUCAGCAUGAAGCUGGUGGUGGUCCUCAUGCUCCUCGCCCUGCCACUUUACUGCUCUGCAGGUUCUGGCUGCCAAUUUCUGGAAAACGUGAUUACAAUGACAAUUGAUCCAGCUGACACAAUAUACAACAGCACUUUGUGCAGCGAGUAUUAACUUCCUGCAAGGCCUUCAGUUCAGAGAAGUGCAGCUGCUGAUAACCACCAACUAUGUCUAGCCUUCUUAUUUGGUCUUCUUAGCCUCAGAUUACCUGAUAAUUGUUGAAGCCUCCAUGCUUUUCCUUUUA